rnacentral:rRNA from 1 species
UUAGAGUUUGAUCCAUGGCUCAGGAUGAACGCUGGCGGCAUGGAUAAGGCAUGCAAGUCGAGAGGUGUAAGACCUCGGCAAACGGGUUAGUAAUGCAUAGGAACGUACCCUGAAGUCGUGAAUAAUCCGGAGAAAUCCGGAAUAAUGCACGAUAUGCUCUACGGAGUAAAGGUUUACCGCUUCAGGAGCGGCCUGUGUCCUAUCAGCUAGUUGGUGGGGUAAUGGCCUACCAAGGCAAUGACGGGUAGGGGGUGUGAGAGCAUGGCCCCCAACAUUGGAACUGAGACACUGUCCAAACUCCUACGGGAGGCUGCAGUCGAGAAUAUUCGUCAAUGGGGGAAACCCUGAACGAGCGAUGCCGCGUGUGGGAUGAAGGCCCUUGGGUGGAAAACCACUUUUCUUACAGACAAACUUA